rnacentral:other from 1 species
UUGAACCGAUAUAUACAGAUAGGGGAUUGUCCCUGUUUAUUGUUGUGCAAGCCUAUUUAAUUAGGAAGCCUGAAAUGAACAUACGAUCGCCACUUGAGCUAGAGGGUUCAA